UACGUAGGGGGCGAGCGUUGUCCGGAUUUAUUGGGCGUAAAGAGCUCGUAGGCGGCCACUCAAGUCGAAUGUGAAACCUCGAGGCUCAACCUCGAGCCUGCAUUCGAUACUGGGCGGCUAGAGUCUGGUAGGGGGAUCUGGAAUUCCUGGUGUAGCGGUGGAAUGCGCAGAUAUCAGGAGGAACACCGGUGGCGAAGGCGGGAUCCUGGGCCAGUACUGACGCUGAGGAGCGAAAGCGUGGGGAUCAAACAGG
rnacentral:rRNA from 1 species